AAAAGAACCCCGGCGAGGGGAGUGAAAAAGAACCUGAAACCGUGUACGUACAAGCAGUGGGAGCCUCUUUUAUGGGGUGACUGCGUACCUUUUGUAUAAUGGGUCAGCGACUUAUAUUCUGUAGCAAGGUUAACCGAAUAGGGGAGCCGAAGGGAAACCGAGUCUUAACUGGGCGUUAAGUUGCAGGGUAUAGACCCGAAACCCGGUGAUCUAGCCAUGGGCAGGUUGAAGGUUGGGUAACACUAACUGGAGGACCGAACCGACUAAUGUUGAAAAAUUAGCGGAUGACUUGUGGCUGGGGGUGAAAGGCCAAUCAAACCGGGAGAUAGCUGGUUCUCCCCGAAAGCUAUUUAGGUAGCGCCUCGUGAAUUCAUCUCCGGGGGUAGAGCACUGUUUCGGCAAGGGGGUCAUCCCGACUUACCAACCCGAUGCAAACUGCGAAUACCGGAGAAUGUUAUCACGGGAGACACACGGCGGGUGCUAACGUCCGUCGUGAAGAGGGAAACAACCCAGACCGCCAGCUAAGGUCCCAAAGUCAUGGUUAAGUGGGAAACGAUGUGGGAAGGCCCAGACAGCCAGGAUGUUGGCUUAGAAGCAGCCAUCAUUUAAAGAAAGCGUAAUAGCUCACUGGUCGAGUCGGCCUGCGCGGAAGAUGUAACGGGGCUAAACCAUGCACCGAAGCUGCGGCAGCGACGCUUAUGCGUUGUUGGGUAGGGGAGCGUUCUGUAAGCCUGUGAAGGUGUGCUGUGAGGCAUGCUGGAGGUAUCAGAAGUGCGAAUGCUGACAUAAGUAACGAUAAAGCGGGUGAAAAGCCCGCUCGCCGGAAGACCAAGGGUUCCUGUCCAACGUUAAUCGGGGCAGGGUGAGUCGACCCCUAAGGCGAGGCCGAAAGGCGUAGUCGAUGGGAAACAGGUUAAUAUUCCUGUACUUGGUGUUACUGCGAAGGGGGGACGGAGAAGGCUAUGUUGGCCGGGCGACGGUUGUCCCGGUUUAAGCGUGUAGGCUGGUUUUCCAGGCAAAUCCGGAAAAUCAAGGCUGAGGCGUGAUGACGAGGCACUACGGUGCUGAAGCAACAAAUGCCCUGCUUCCAGGAAAAGCCUCUAAGCAUCAGGUAACAUCAAAUCGUACCCCAAACCGACACAGGUGGUCAGGUAGAGAAUACCAAGGCGCUUGAGAGAACUCGGGUGAAGGAACUAGGCAAAAUGGUGCCGUAACUUCGGGAGAAGGCACGCUGAUAUGUAGGUGAAGCGACUUGCUCGUGGAGCUGAAAUCAGUCGAAGAUACCAGCUGGCUGCAACUGUUUAUUAAAAACACAGCACUGUGCAAACACGAAAGUGGACGUAUACGGUGUGACGCCUGCCCGGUGCCGGAAGGUUAAUUGAUGGGGUCAGCGCAAGCGAAGCUCUUGAUCGAAGCCCCGGUAAACGGCGGCCGUAACUAUAACGGUCCUAAGGUAGCGAAAUUCCUUGUCGGGUAAGUUCCGACCUGCACGAAUGGCGUAAUGAUGGCCAGGCUGUCUCCACCCGAGACUCAGUGAAAUUGAACUCGCUGUGAAGAUGCAGUGUACCCGCGGCAAGACGGAAAGACCCCGUGAACCUUUACUAUAGCUUGACACUGAACAUUGAGCCUUGAUGUGUAGGAUAGGUGGGAGGCUUUGAAGUGUGGACGCCAGUCUGCAUGGAGCCGACCUUGAAAUACCACCCUUUAAUGUUUGAUGUUCUAACGUUGACCCGUAAUCCGGGUUGCGGACAGUGUCUGGUGGGUAGUUUGACUGGGGCGGUCUCCUCCUAAAGAGUAACGGAGGAGCACGAAGGUUGGCUAAUCCUGGUCGGACAUCAGGAGGUUAGUGCAAUGGCAUAAGCCAGCUUGACUGCGAGCGUGACGGCGCGAGCAGGUGCGAAAGCAGGUCAUAGUGAUCCGGUGGUUCUGAAUGGAAGGGCCAUCGCUCAACGGAUAAAAGGUACUCCGGGGAUAACAGGCUGAUACCGCCCAAGAGUUCAUAUCGACGGCGGUGUUUGGCACCUCGAUGUCGGCUCAUCACAUCCUGGGGCUGAAGUAGGUCCCAAGGGUAUGGCUGUUCGCCAUUUAAAGUGGUACGCGAGCUGGGUUUAGAACGUCGUGAGACAGUUCGGUCCCUAUCUGCCGUGGGCGCUGGAGAACUGAGGGGGGCUGCUCCUAGUACGAGAGGACCGGAGUGGACGCAUCACUGGUGUUCGGGUUGUCAUGCCAAUGGCACUGCCCGGUAGCUAAAUGCGGAAGAGAUAAGUGCUGAAAGCAUCUAAGCACGAAACUUGCC
rnacentral:rRNA from 1 species